CUCCGAAUGAGGAAACUCACAUGGGAAACCCCAUGUAUCAUUAAGUGAAUACAUAGCUUAAUGAAGGUAACCCAGGGAACUGAAACAUCUAAGUACCUGGAGGAAGAGAAAGAAAAAUCGAUUUUCUUAGUAGCGGCGAGCGAAAGGGANNGUUUCCGGGGUUGUGGACAUAGCAUCAAAGUGGAGGCUAUUGUAACUGAAGAGAACUGGAAAGCUCCGCCACAGAAGGUAACAGCCCUGUAGUCGAAGUGAGAAGACUUCGAGUUAUGAUCCAGAGUACCACGGGACACGUGAAACCUUGUGGGAAGCAGGAGGGACCACCCUCCAAGGCUAAAUACUACCUGAUGACCGAUAGUGAAGCAGUACCGUGAGGGAAAGGUGAAAAGAACCCCGGGAGGGGAGUGAAAUAGAACCUGAAACCCUGUACUUACAAACUGUGGAAGCACAUUUCUUGUGUGACCGCGUACUUUUUGUAGAACGGGCCAACGAGUUACGUUAUGCAGCAAGGUUAAGUACUUCAAGUAUGUAGCCGCAGCGAAAGCGAGUUUUAACUGAGCGUUUAGUUG
rnacentral:rRNA from 1 species